rnacentral:rRNA from 1 species
AGCGAACGCUGGCGGCAGGCUUAACACAUGCAAGUCGAGCGGGCGUAGCAAUACGUCAGCGGCAGACGGGUGAGUAACGCGUGGGAACAUACCUUUUGGUUCGGAACAACACAGGGAAACUUGUGCUAAUACCGGAUAAGCCCUUACGGGGAAAGAUUUAUCGCCGAAAGAUUGGCCCGCGUCUGAUUAGCUAGUUGGUGAGGUAACGGCUCACCAAGGCGACGAUCAGUAGCNGGUCUGAGAGGAUGAUCAGCCACAUUGGGACUGAGACACGGCCCAAACUCCUACGGGAGGCAGCAGUGGGGAACAUUGGACAAUGGGCGCAAGCCUGAUCCAGCCAUGCCGCGUGAGUGAUGAAGGCCCUAGGGUUGUAAAGCUCUUUUGUGCGGGAAGA